UACGUAGGUGGCGAGCGUUGUCCGGAUUUACUGGGCGUAAAGAGCGCGCAGGUGGUUUCUUAAGUCUGAUGUGAAAGCCCACGGCUCAACCGUGGAGGGUCAUUGGAAACUGGGGAACUUGAGUGCAGAAGAGGAAAGUGGAAUUCCAAGUGUAGUGGUGAAAUGCGUAGAUAUCGGGAGGAACACCAGUGGCGAAGGCGACUACCUGGCCUGUUCUUGACGCUGAGGCGCGAAAGCUAGGGGAGCAAACGGG
rnacentral:rRNA from 1 species